AUCAGCUAGUCUGAUUCCUGCAUGUCACAGGCCACAAACACCACUCAGCACCUGAAACCCAACAACUGAAAUUUGACCAAGGUAUGACAGCCCUCAGGUGACUAAACAAUUAUGUGCCACAGGUGGAACAGAGAUGUACCAAUGCCUGAGAUCCCUGCAACAACAAGAAAUUGAUUGAGAUAUCCCAGAAGAACUUGUCAUUUCUGAGACGCUUUCUGUUUGGGAAGGCACAAAGUCAGCAUAUCAAUUUAUGGCUAAAAUCCUGAGUGUGGCUGAACACAACCAACAACAGUUGACAUCAAUGGGAGAUGCAGGUGCUUAGGCCUUCUCAAGGCCUUAUGCAGCAAUAAAGGAGUUUAGGGUAGAAUUCACCUCUCCCUACACAAAGCCAGAAUACUAAGGAUUUGGGGAGGAAAACAGGAGUUGGAAGAUUGGAAUGUAGCACCCCCCAACCUGUAUGCAGUUUGCAGGGCUGCAUUGCUGGAGCUCCACAGCUGCCUAUGGACUGGAAUAGUGAUUGCUGUAUCCUUUGCCGGAAGCAUGGGACACUAGCUUCAUGUCAGCAUGGAUUCUGUACCCUUCUUCUCAACUUCUCCAGUGGCCUGUCCUGUACCAAUGUAUUUCCAUCUAGUGUGGAGUCUGUCUCAGCAGUAUGCAGGAGGCUCUCUUCUUUGGCUUCUGUGUUUGUUCCUCCACCCUACUUCAUAAAAAAUAGUGGGGCUCAAAUGACAUGCUGGAGGACCUUUCACACGUCCUUCACUCCACGGCAAGUUUCACCUUUAGUAAAUAGGAGAUCAUAGAUAGAGAGAGAUAAAGAUACAUAAUUGAGCAUUUCUUUUCAUGUACUCUAUACCUUUGAAGUAAAACACAAAGAAAAGUGAA